rnacentral:pre_miRNA from 1 species
AGUCAUGUCUGGUAGCCAAGGAUGACUUGCCUAGCAAUUCCAUUCUUUGGGGCUUUGUCUAGAGUGAAGAUGGAGACCCUUGUUUGGUUAAUUGGCAAGCAUCCUCGGCUAUUUGCUUGCCUCU